rnacentral:lncRNA from 1 species
ACACAGAGUGUGCCCAAACUCACUCAGGCCUCUGGCAGCUGAAAACCACUGCUUUAAAUCCCUUUACCAUUUACUAUGACAUAAGGUUAUUGUAAACAGGAAAUAUUCUAUUGAUGCUACAAAUGGAAAGCCAAUGCCUUUACCAUAAAUAGAAAAACAACCCUAAGAAACAAGCAAAACAAAAACAAAACAGGGGCUGGGUGUGGUGGCUCACGCCUGUAAUCCCAGCACUUUGGGAGGCCGAGGUGGGCGGAUCACAAGGUCAGGAGUUCCAGACCAGCCUGGCCAAUAUGGUGAAACCCUGUCUCUAAUAAAAUACAAAAAUUAGCCGGGUGUGGUGGUGGGCGGAUCACAAGAUCAGGAGUUCCAGACCAGCCUGGC